UAACUUUUUUCUUUAAUGUCUAUUAAAGGAGAUGUGGCUGAAGGAGCAGGUGUUGGAUGCGGUGCGCCUAAAAGGAAUUCAGGAGACAAUCGCAGGAUUUCUUAACGACCAAGUCCUGGAUUCCGGCGGCGAGUGCUACUUCAACCCUCAGGAGCAGAUGAAACCAAAUAACGAUGAUCAUUUGUACGAUGCUUGAGUGGUGGAGAUAAAUUGUGUUGUAAAUACUUUGUCCGUGAAGCAUAUGUGUAAAUAUUUUAUUAUGGACCUAUAGAUACAUAUUAUUUAUAUAUAUAUAGUGUUUUAUAGUAUAUUUAUAUGUAAUCCUUUAAAUUAUAUAAAUUAUAGGUGCGCGUUCCAUAAACUACCAGCAAACAAUACGCAUUCGAAAAUAACAAUAAUAUAAUUGUAAACCCUAAAUGGAAAACCAAAUGAAAAGAAAAAGAAAAAAGAAAAAAGUCUUUAGUCCCGGUUGGUAGCAACAACCGCGACUAAAAGUGGAGGCCAGGUGGCACACCAUGGCACACCUUUUAGUCCCGGUCGCUGUUACCAACCGGGACUAAAGGUGGACCUUUAGUCCCGGUCCACGGAACCGGGACUAAAGGUGGGACAUUUAGUCCCGAAACCUUAGCCCCGGUUCCGUAGCCGGGACUAAAGUCGCUUACGGCCCGGGGCUAAAGCCCUUCCCUGUACUAGUGAAACUCAAUCAACUUAAGAUAGUUUGACUUAAGUUGAUUCUAGGAAUUGAAUUAUUUUAAAAUCAAGGUAGCAAUCUGAAUAGUUUUGACUAGUUGCUUGAUACUCCCUCCAUUCCAAAUUAUAACAUGUUUUAGCUUUUCCAAAUACAUUGUUUUCACUAUGUAU
rnacentral:lncRNA from 1 species